GGGCCACCUUCCCCUAGCCCAGGCUGCUCCAGGUAGGCUCCUCAGAUGGUUCCCAUGGUAAAACACUGACAGGCUGUGUCUGCUGCUGCAGGGACCAUCAAGGAGAUCCUUGGCACUGCCCAGUCCGUGGGCUGCAGCAUUGAUGGGAGACACCCUCACGACAUCAUCGAUGACAUCAACAGUGGUGCCAUCGAGUGCCCAGCUAGCUAAGACUGCAGAAAAGGAAGUUGCCACAUGAAGGCUCCUUCAGUUUUUUGUAGCACUUUAAAUACUAAAAUAAAGACCCAGUUGUCUGCAAA